CUCUGUUAUAAGAAUGCGGUUUUGACCCUCGGAAUCCACACUGCCCAGGAAGGAGUUACCUGAUACAUCUCCGGGGGACACGCCUGUCCUUCCAAUGUUGAUCAGAAACUGAGGAGGUAGAGAACUGCUUCCAGGGUGCAAAGCGGACAAUAGCGUACAAAGCAGGAGGUUGACACUGUCGUAGCAUCAGGAUCUGUGUCCCAAGUGACAAUAACUGAGGGUGCUGAGCAUCUAAAGGAAAGGGGAGCCGCUGUCAUCUUCGUGCUCUGCAGGCAUGGGGUGGAGCCUGCUCUCACCCGGCCUUACAGCAGCUGGGUGCUUCCGGGGCACGGACUGGCCCGCUGGAGUCAUUCUCAGAAAAGGGAGUGCUGGCUGUGUUUAUUUUCUUCUCCGGAAACCAACAUGCCUAUUUCAGUACUCUAAGGAGUAAGGCUCUAGAGUUAGGAAAUCAUCGUUUUUCACCUUCUAAUGAUAAAAUGGAUUCAAGUAAUAAUCAUUAGUGACAGGAAAAAGACGAAAAAUUAAGACUAAUGUAUCAACCAAAUAUAAUGUGUAGACCUCGUCUGCAUAGUAAAACAAAUACCUGUAAAAAGACAUCUUAAAAAUGUGCUGGGCGUGGUGGCGCACACCUGCAAUCCCAGCACUCGGGAGGCAGACGGGAUAUCAUAGGUUCCAGGCCAGCCUGAACUACAGUGAGAUCCUGUCUGCAAAAAAUCCAGUAUGGACUGAUGAGACAAUAUUUACAGCACAUCUUAUUUGAUAAAAUAAUAGAGCAGCCUUAAGGGGGGGCUUGUUUAAAACUAAACCAAAGUAAAGGUCCUGCUUUGAGCUGGGGACUGUGUGGCUCCUUUGCGACUGAUGUACGUAAGUCACCUAUUUGCAAUAGUGACAAUACAGCUGAAAAUUCCAAGUUUAAUUUUGACUUUUUUGUUUUUCUUGGCCAGUAAAUGUAAAAUGAAAUACUUUUCCAAAAU
ensembl:lncRNA